GGAAUCAGCAUGCUUUUCCCCAUAGACUUCUGUAGCAGCCUGGAGAUGACUAAAGAUCAGAUUAUGAUUCAAAUUGACAAAUCUGACCCUUCUGCCUAUUGCUCUCCUAGCUGGGACAUUAUUUUACUUUAUCUGAACAAUGAAAUGGAUGAAACCAGAUUCAGAGAAUCCUUCAACUCUGUGGGGGAGAGUCUUUGUGGCAAUAAGAAGGACAGCAGAAAAUUCAC